rnacentral:lncRNA from 1 species
GAUCCCAAGCUUCAUCCCGAGCUCCACGGUUCCACCAAACCAACCAUCUCCCAGGAAACUUCCUUCGGAUUCCACGUCCACGUCCAGAUCCUCCUCCCCGUUUUUAUUCGCAGCCAUGUUCAUCUCCCAGCAUCUUCUGGAUGAGCAUCCCAUCUUCUUCCGACUUCUUCCCACCCACGAAUCCGAACCAAAUGCAUAACAUCCACUGUAUCCAACUUCCUCCCAGCUUCCGCUAGAUCCCGUUUGUGAUCUCCUCUUCAUCCCGUUCGGGUUGACGGGAUAAACUCAUACCCAGCAAACUUCCCAACCAUUCCGUGAGAUCUUCCCCAACGUCAGGAUCACAUCCCUCUUCCGCGUCCAAAGAUUUCUUCCUAGCUGAAUUCCCCUGCAUCCGCGAUUCAUCCCGUGAGCAUCCCAAACAACAUGGUCCCAAGCUCAUCCCAACCAAGAUCCUCUCAAUAUCUUCAUCUCCACCGCGUUGAAGCAACAUGACUCCCUCCGGAUCCUGUCCAAAAGCAGAAUCCCCUGUUUCAAGAUCACAUCCAUUCGAAUCUCCCAACACCCUAGCUCACGAAUCCAUCCAUUUCUUCCUUCCAUCCUUACCCGGAUUAGCUUGUAUCCAAGAUUUCUUCUUCCAAAAUCUUGCCGUUCGUGAUCCAUUGGCCAGCCAUUCUCAGCAUACCACC